GCCUCUGUAGCUCAGUUGGUAGAGCAGGGGACUGAAAAUCCCCGUGUCGUUGGUUCGAUUCCGAUCGGAGGCACCA
rnacentral:tRNA from 4 species